rnacentral:rRNA from 1 species
UGGGGAAUUUUGGACAAUGGGCGAAAGCCUGAUCCAGCAAUGCCGCGUGUGUGAAGAAGGCCUUCGGGUUGUAAAGCACUUUUGUCCGGAAAGAAAUGGCUCUGGUUAAUACCUGGGGUCGAUGACGGUACCGGAAGAAUAAGGACCGGCUAACUACGUGCCAGCAGCCGCGGUAAUACGUAGGGUCCAAGCGUUAAUCGGAAUUACUGGGCGUAAAGCGUGCGCAGGCGGUUGUGCAAGACCGAUGUGAAAUCCCCGAGCUUAACUUGGGAAUUGCAUUGGUGACUGCACGGCUAGAGUGUGUCAGAGGGGGGUAGAAUUCCACGUGUAGCAGUGAAAUGCGUAGAGAUGUGGAGGAAUACCGAUGGCGAAGGCAGCCCCCUGGGAUAACACUGACGCGCAUGCACGAAAGCGUGGGGAGCAAACAGG